rnacentral:tRNA from 1 species
GCCCGAGUAGCUCAGACGGCAGAGCAACGCACUCGUAAUGCGUAGGUCAGGAGUUCGAUUCUCCUCUCGGGCUCCA